UCACAUUAUCUUCUCCAGUAAGACUUCGCUUUCUCAUAGGUUUCACAAUAACUCCUCAUUGGUUAGAUUCAUGUAUAUGAUUUAAAGCGACUUCUGGCUUCUUCACGUUAUCUUCUCCAAUAAGAUUUCGCUUUCUUAUAGGUUUCACAAUAACUCCUCUUUGGUUCAGAUUCAUGGAUAUGAUUUGUAUUAUUUCCAGAUUCAUAUUCAUGUAUCGUGUGUGAUCAGUUGAGUUUCCCUCCUUGCUCUGAUAUAAUUUCAUCUUGCCCAAAAUAGUUUCUACAUUUUCGCUUAAAUUAUAUCGCUUCCUCUCUCGCUCAGGUGCGAUUUGAACUCACGGAAGAAUGUUCAUAAUUUCACGGAAGAAUGUUCAGAAUUUCGGUUGUUGACGAUCUUUGGUUCCCCAUUCUUUCCUUUGAUUAGGAGUUUCAUUCCAAGGUUACUUUAGAGCUUUGGGGAUCUGCGGUGCUUUUGUUCUGACCAUCUUUCCGAACUCUUUUGCUCGCCUCAUUGUGCACUCCUGUUCACAGCCGGAGUUCAAUGGGUGACUUUGAUGGCUGAAUAGUAAGAAGGACGAAAAUAAUUGGAUGGAUUCCCAUUUUCUGGCUUUUUUCAGGAUUUGAAUCGUCAUAUUCUUUGCUCGACAAAUUUGCUCUUAUGGCCCUCUAGGAACUUGAGAAUUGAAAAUUUCUCCUUCGAUUGGCCUCAUGUGUAUGAGGUGUUCAGGUGAAAAUUUAUCGAAAAUCCUAUUCUACUCAAAUUAAUUGCAUGGGAUGAUAAAAAGGACAUGCAAAAAGAAGCUCGAGCUGAAGAUGGAGCAUUUCUGAAGCAAAGCACCUUGACAAUACCAUAGUAGUUAGCUACUCCUUUCACAUGUAGCUCAAGUAAAGUUGUUACAGUUACGGCUUCGUAAAUAGUUUUGUAUUUUUUCGAGGCUUCAAAUUAUUUGUUUUGAUGACUAUCCUUCAAACCAUGCGUUUGUUAUUUUUCAAGGUUGAUGAGGGCUCCAAUGCUUCAAUAAGGUCGAUGAACUGUUCUGUUAUAAUGUGCCCUUCAGUGUUCCAGAGCAUUUGAGCAUGUAACGCCUACUGUUAAUAAGCUUGCAAAAAAAGAAAAUAUGCAGUUGAAUGUUAAUUCUGCCACAGAGAACAAAAAUAUCAAACAAGAUGAGUAAUCAUCCUUUGAAGG